UGACUUUGAUCAAAGUCAAACUGCUUUAAGUUUGACCAAGUUUAUAGAAAAAAGUAGUAACAUUUUUAACCCAAGAUAAAUUUAUUAUGAAAAUAUAUUCAAUCAUUGAUUUGAUGAAACUAAUUUAGUAUUAUAAAUAUUACUAUAUUUGUCUAUAAACCUAGUCAAAUUUGGAACAGUUUGACUUUGAUCAAAGUCAA
rfam:Oryza meridionalis cultivar OR44 (W2112) chromosome 1, whole genome shotgun sequence.